GGAUAAACAAAGGUGGAAGGCAGCGGCAGGCGGGGGCGGGGAGUGAUAGGGCUGCCCUUCCAACUGGCUGUGAGGGCAAAGGUCGGAGAGUCGAGCAUGGCGUGACCCCAACUGAGACAUCGUCCCCAAAAGGGCCUCGGCAAUCAGGAAGGGCAGAAUGCAGGGAAGGGGACAGAGGGGGAAAGUCUAGGGUCUCUCCCCCCACCCCACCGGCCACCCACUUCUUCCAUGGUAGAUAAAGAUGUAUAAGGCAAGAGACAUUUCUGUACAACUAGCAAGACUAAAAAAGGGAAACUUUCAAGAUCCUCUGAUAGCACAAAACACAUCUGAAAAAAACUUAGGAUGUCUUCUCACUUUUAUGUAUUUUAUUUUAUUUUAAUAUAUGACAUCCAUCUGCAUGGAGCUUAGGGUACAAGGCCUCAAACACAGGAACAUAAAUAAUAUAACAGCACAAGAAAAUCCCUGAAGCUGGAUCAGGCCAUUGGGGGUCCAUUUAGUCCAUUCUCACAGUGGUCAAUCAGAUGCCUUUGGAAAGUGUACAAGCAGAAACUAUGUUCUUAAACAUAGCCAUUGUGGCCAGUAGCCAAUUAUAGUUUUAUCUGCCAUCAAUUUAUCUAAGGUGACUGGAAAUAAUGUGGGGUGCAGGGAGAGUAUCAUGGUGUGUAACACCCACAGCCAGGUCAUAAAAAAUACCCUGCACCAUCUUCUCACACAAGUCUAUAUGGACCCCAGCUUUGCUUACUGGUCAUUUCCCAGGACAACUAACUCCCCUUUCCACUGACCCCUUUCUCUGUUGCAUGCUCAAACAUUAACUCUCCUGUCAUGAGUUCAAAACUAGCAGAAGAACAGCUGGCUAGAUUUUUCUACUAUCUAUGCUGUGCUCUUGAUCAGAAAUCCCUGGUAAAUUACACAGCAUAUUGAGGGCAGACCCCUUCCUUGAACAAGGCAGCAACCAGCCAGGGACUGGAAGGGAAAGAGCCUCUUUGCAAACCAAAGAAUAUGAGAAGAAGCAUUUCUUCCUGGCACAGCCCCAUGGGAGCCUGCCCACAACACCUCUGUCUCAGGUUCCUCCUGCCAGUGAGAGAGGGUCUCAGGCAGACCCGGAGCCAAGCAGAAAGCAGAUGCCACUUGAAGAACCCUGGCAGGCUGUGCCGAGGGUAAUAAGGCAGCAGAUCCAAGCUUUGCUCCAGCUCAGACUGGCUGCUACUUUUAUGAAGCCAUUUACUCCCUGGCCCUUGUUCAGCUGCCAAGCUCAGACCUUGUUUGGGUCUCUUCCCCUAAAGGAGCUGGGUUGCCUAGAGAAGACGUGUCAGAAGAGCACUGGUGCAUUUAUUUAGACCAGGGGCGCAGGGAAUUCUUUUUCAGCCCAACGUUCACACACCCUCCUUGACAAUUUUCUGAGGGCCACAUGUCAGUGCAACCAGAGGCAAAAAUGGACAGAGCCAUUCAUGUACAUUUUAUACCUAGGAUUGCAUGAGCCUCAUUUGCCACUGCGUCACACUGCUGACUCUUGUUCAGCCUGUGGUCCCCACAGCUGAAAACCAUUUUCAAUGACCAUUAAAUCAUUCCCAGUUAACAUUUGUUGUUGCUUUCUAAAAAGGUUAUUAUAAGUUUUUGCAGUGGUACCUCUGGUUAAGAACUUAAUUCAUUCCGGAGGUCCGUUCUUAACCUGAAACUGUUCUUAAUCUGAGGUACCACUUUAGCUAAUGGACCCUCCCACUGCUGCCGCGCCGCCGCCAUGCGAUUUCUGUUCUCAUCCUGAGGUAAAGUUCUUAACCCAAGGUACUACUUCGGGGUUAGCGGAGUCUGCAACCUGAAGCGUUUGUAACCCGAAGUGUUUGUAAUCCGAGGUACCACUGUAUUUAAAUCAAAAACCCUAAAAAUGACAUGCACCACUUUCAAAGAGGCAUCCCUUCCUUGCCUUUACAGUCAGAACAGAAAGGAAUGCCUCUUCUGACAAGAAUUCACACCACGACAUUCACUGACGUUACCUAAAAACAAAGCAUGCAUUUUUUCCUUCCCAAUUGCAGUUUUAGUCAUAUGCCAACUUAUAAAAGAUUUGGUCAACAGGUUCUUAUUAAUUCACUGUGAUCUCUUUAAUAGGGUAACAGCCCUCAUGAGCAUCACAAGCACUUUCCCAAACUAGUUCUGAAGUUCAGCAUCAGCCACUGGGUAGACGCAAGACUUCUUCAAAGAACAUGAGGCAACACCACAUCCCCACUGCCCAGAUGCCUGCCUGGUAGCCGCUGCUCGAGAAUACAGUUCACUGUGCCUCCACAACAUCUCUCUCUCUACGUAACAGCCCAGGUUCUGGUUAGACAGGGAUAACAGCCCUUCCCACACAUACAGCCAAGAGAGGAACUAGAAGUCUGCAACUGCAACAGAAUAACUAACCCAGCUUGAGAAAAGUGGCAGCCCUUAGGUCAGGUGUGGGAAACCAUUGGUUCUUCAGAUGUCACUGAACUAAAACUCUCUGGCUGUGCUUGCUGGGGCUGGUGGGAGACACCAGUCUGGAGGAGCCCUUGCCUCAGUACAUGCGAGAGUUUGGGGAAACCAGCUGGGCUUCUCUGCCAGGCUGGAAUUAAUAGGAAGGGCUGAGGCAUCCCUAGCAUUGCCCCACACAUUCACCCUCACCUCUCCCAAACAUGAAACCCAGAGACAGGACGUUUGUGGAGAGCAGCAAAAAGGAAGAUUUCCUCCCACAGAGCUUUACCUGCUUUGUUUCUGCUCGACAGGCGGUUGUUAAAGGCACAGGAGUUGGGGGAGUGACACAAUUCUGGCCAAAAGUGUCUUCUGUUACCUUUUUCUUAAAGCGUCCUCUCUCUGCCUGGGAUCACUCUGGGGGCUUCAAGGUGUCUUGGGAUAACAACCUCUGAACUCACUUCAACCUCUGAAAUGUAAGUGCCAACUGUCUCUGUUUACCAGAGGUGGCACCUGUUUCCUGGCUUGUCCCUGGGGCAAAAAAAAAAACCAACCAAAAAAAUCACUGCCCUAUUUUUUCCUUUGUAUGUUUUGACUUUAGGGAAUGCCUUGCUAAAACAUUGCUCUUGUGAGCUGAGCUGCCAGGAGAAUUGCCAGCCAUUCUGAAAGUUCAUCUCCCUCUCCCG